rnacentral:misc_RNA from 1 species
CGCGGCGCCACAUUAUAGGGAAGAAAAAAAAUCUUUUUUUUUCAAUACAAUUUUCCUCCAUUAGAAUCGUUUUUGAUGGUGUCUCCCAGUGUGUGAUUGAAUUAGUGACGUUUCAAUGGAUAUACUCUAGUUACUGAGUCCAGUGUGUGGGCGACGAGUCGAACAAGAUAUUCCAAGCAUUCCCACCCCCCCGAAACAUAUACCGAACUGAGGACGAUAAUGUGGUCGAUAUCCGUGUGUUAAACGCGAUAUGGUGACGAGGCUCCAUGCCGCCCUUUCAUGGGCCGCCCUUUUAACUUUGCUAUUAUUUAACGGGCACGCGUUCGUACUGGACGGUUCUUCCGAGUCGUACUCGCAGUUUCGGAAAUGGGGCGGCGGCACCAACGGUACCUUGGAGUUCGAAUUUAAGACUGACCAGCCAAACGGUCUGUUACUUUACACGGACGACGGAGGAACAUACGAUUUCUUCGAGAUUAAGCUGGUCGAGGGAGCCUUAAGGUUAAGAUACAACCUGGGAGGCGGUGCGCAAAUCAUCACCGUUGGCAAAGAGUUGAACGACGGGCACUGGCACAAGGUGCAACUGCAACGGCACGAGGAGCGCACGAUCCUGACGGUAGACGGCGCGUCGCAGAUGCGCACGUCGCGUGGCAAAGAAUUCAAUUUCGGGAAAUUGGAAACGAACUCCGACGUGUACGUGGGCGGGCUGCCCAAGUGGUACAAUAAGAAAUUGGCCCUUUUGGCGUUGCCGAGCGUCUUUUUCGAGCCGCGGUUCAUCGGCGCGGUCCGCAACUUGAUUUAUCCGGACGUGGAGGGCGGAGUGGCGAGGAGACAGGAGACCAGACCCAAGGAUCAUCGGUGUGACGGACCGAUAGUGGCCGGAACCGAAUCAAUUUGCCUUCCCCAAACCAGGACGCUGAGGGGGAACAGCAGCGACGCGUGCGAAGUCCGGGAUCCCUGUCAGCACGGCGGCAUUUGCAUAUCGACAGACAGCGGCCCUAUUUGCGAGUGUCGCAAUUCCGAUUACGAGGGGGAGUUUUGCGAGAAAGAUAAGGCGCCUUCGGAAGCGGUUUUUCGGGGCACCGAGUUCUUAUCUUAUGAUCUGAGCCAAACCGGCGGAGAGCCGAUCGUGAGCGCCCAAGACACAAUCACCCUCUAUUUUAAGACGAGACAGCCCAACGGAUUACUUUUUUACACCGGCGAGGGAAGUGACUAUUUAAACGUAGCAAUCAAAGAUGGUUGCUUAAGUUUAACGAUGGGUCUGGCCAAUGGAAAACAAGAGAUGCAGAUUAAGCCCAAUAAGGUCCGCUUUGAUGACAAUCAGUGGCACAAAGUCAGCGUACACCGUAGAAUACAAGAGAUAUCUGCCAUCACCAGCUUUUGUCGGUUAUCUGCAGUCGUGGACGGAGUGUAUGCAGACCACUCGCACAUCGCCGGCAAAUUCACGAUGUUAUCCUCGAGCCGGGUGUACGUCGGGGGCAGCAUAAACACGAGGGCACUACCAGGGGCCAGGGUCCAUAACAAUUUCGUCGGCUGUAUGCGAAAGGUGGAAUUCGUGGCGGACACGUUACGCCUGAAUUUGCUCGAAUUGGGACGAUCCGGAAGCCAUUUGAUCCAGGUGGCGGGACGUCUGGAUUACAAAUGUCCCGCGGGAGAGACCCACGAUCCCAUCACGUUUACAACAAGAGAAUCACACCUGGUGUUGCCCACAUGGAACGCAAAGAAGUCUGGCAAUAUUUCAUUUAAGUUCCGGACCAACGAGGCCAACGGCCUGAUCCUGUUUAAUUCCGGAACGGCGCCACGGACGGAUUUGUUCGCGGUGGAGAUCUACAACGGGCACAUCUACGUGAACAUCGACUUGGGCACGGGACCGUCGAAGCAGCGAGGGUCGCGCCGGCGCAUCGAUGACGGCACGUGGCACGAGUUCACCUUCCGGAGAACGGGCCGUGAUGCCCGGAUCACCGUGGACGGUUUUCAUACUGACUUUAAAGCCAUGGGUAAGACGGCAAAAGGUUCAGCUACCCUGGAGCUGGAGAGUAAAUUGUUUAUCGGCGGACUGGGGCCCCCCUUCGGUGACAUCCCGGUGCCCGCGGGUCUCUGGACCGCCGCCCUCCAGCAGGGAUUCGUCGGCUGUUUCAAGGACCUCGUUAUGAAUAACGAACCCGUCGAUGUGGCCGCCUACGCCCGGGAACAGGACUCCGGUUCAAUCAGAACUUUGUGCCAUACGCAACCUCAGCAAUGCCCCUCGCAACCAUGUUUAAACGGUGGAGUUUGCACGGAGGGUUGGAACAGAUUUAUUUGUGAUUGCACCAGCACCAUGUUCACUGGACCCACGUGUGGAAAAGAAGCUGCCACUUUAAGUUUUAAUGGGUCGUCGCACAUGACGGUCACCCAGGACUCGGAAAUGGUCUCGCAAACGGAAGAAAUAAUUUUGCGAUUCCGCACCGGGAAACCGCUCGGAUUGUUGCUGAUCUCAAGCACCGUCGAGACGGGGGAUCGAAUCGAGUUGGCGGUGGCCGCCGGGAGGAUCAGGCUCGCCCUAAGGCUGGACGUCAAGGAGCGCCGCAAGGAGGAUCGGGAAAAGGAUAAGAUUUUAUUGGCAGGCCAAAACGUAAACGACAACGAGUGGCAUACGGUCAGAUUUUCAAGGAGAGGCACCAAUUUAAAACUACAAUUGGACAACCAAUCGCCCAUCAGGGCGGAAAUCCAGGGAAAAUUCACGACGCUUCAGUGGCGCACCCUGCACAUCGGAGGCCUCUACCACGUUGAAGAGGAAAUUUCGAUGUCCACCACGGUGCCUAAUUUCGUCGGGGAGAUUCAACAAUUGUAUUUCAAUAAUAUUCCAUAUAUUGAAUUGGCGAGGGCUUUAAGUACCGAACAAUCCAUUUCCGGUUUUCCAACGAUAAAAGUGACAGCGAAAUUCGUAAAACACGCCACGGACAAUCUGCACCGGCCGGUGACGUUCCGAUCGAAGCACACGUUCAUCGGGUUGCCUAUGUUGCGCGCAUACUCAAGCAUCCACAUCGACUUUAUGUUUAAAACCCGCGAAGCAAACGGACUCAUCAUGUUCAACGGAGGACGCAAAGAGGAUUUUGUUGCUGUGGAGUUGGUUGAUGGUCACAUUAAUUACAUUGUUAAUGUGGGAGAUGGUACCGUUACACUUAGGGAUACUGUCAGGUCCCAUCUAAACGACAACCGAUGGCACACGGUAGGCAUCCGUCGUCCCUCCGCCCGCCAACACACCCUCAUGGUCGACGACGACAUCGUGAUCGCAACGAAUUACGGAAGCGGAAACCUGGAACUCGAUGGGAUUUUGUAUUUGGGCGGCGUAUAUAAGGACUUAUACGCGCAGCUUCCACAGGAAGACGUCAAGUCUCGUCACGGGUUUGAGGGUUGUAUCGCCGGUCUCGACCUGAACGGGGAAUCACCCAAUAUUAUGGAGGAUGCGGUCGUCCAUAGUUCCCUAGUAACUGCCGGGUGUGAAGGGCAAUCAGCCAAAUGUAGUCACAAUGUUUGCGCGAACGGUGGGGUAUGCGUACAACAAUGGAACUCGUACACUUGCGAUUGCGAUCUGACGUCAUUUACCGGCCCUACAUGCACUGACGAGUCGGUUUCAUACGAAUUCGGUCCGAAUCCAGGAAUAAUAACGUACACAUUCUCGGAGGACAACCGACCAGAAAUGCAAGAGGACUCGAUCGCUCUCGGAUUCAUCACCACCAAAUCGGACGCAGUUCUCUUGAAAAUUAUCAGCGGCACCUCCAGCGAUUACAUUGAGAUUCACAUUUUGGAAGGCAACGUAUUCGCCGUAUAUAACCUGGGCACGAACGAUCAUCCCUUGGGCGAAAUCUCCGUAAAAGUAAACGACAACCAGUACCACGUGGUCAAAUUUCACCGUCAAGGAUACAAUUCGACGUUACAAGUGGACGAUUAUAACGUACAGUCCAGCUUCCCAAGUGGUAACCAACUACAAGUGUUCAACACCCAAUCCCAGAUCCAGAUUGGUGGUAAAUGGAGCCGAGGAAAAAAACGAAUCGACCGCCCGUUCUCCGGGAUAAUUUCGGGAGUCGUGGUGAACUCCCUGAGGGUGUUGGACUUGGUGGCGGAAAAAGACGUGCGAGCGUCCAUUCGCGGGGACGUCGCCCUCGUCCAGGGAAUUCUGGAUCGGCAAGACCUCCUGACCAAGAUGCAACAGACUCCGGCCUCUGGAUUUCCGGGACUCGAGGACGAUCUGAUCUUUAGUGGCGCCGGUUCCGGAUGUAAUGGAGACGACGAGGACGAGUGUCCCCCUCUACCGGAGAUCGGCUCCGGAGACGACGACCUGAUCACUCCGGUUUAUGUGCCGCCCACCAAACCUCCUCCCACCGUCAAACCGAAAAACAAAAACAAUUCAAUUGCCGGAAACGGGAAAGAUUGCGACGACGAGGAUUGUGUUGAUGGUUCCGGUUCCGGGGAGAUCACCGAGGAUCCGGUUACAAACAGUAAAACCACUGGCAUGUCAACGGAAAUAACGGAUCCUUCCACCACCAUAGACAACUCGAACAACGUGAAAACCACCACGGAAGAGGAGACUCCUCCCUCCACCACCGUGGUACACCACCAAACCGUCACGUCUUAUGGAAACUUGACAACACCGGAAAACGAUUUACAUUCGUCUCCGUCACAUAAUACUACAAGACCGAGUGCCCCUCUCUUUAUCCCCACGGAUGCGAAUGGUGAUAACAAAUGGGUGAGUUCGACAACAGCGCACGGCUCAAAUCAGAACCCGGAUCGUACCACGGACAUGCCGAACGAGAUUCACGUUCCCCGUCAGCCGCAGCUGCCGUAUCCACCCCCGCCACCCCCUGAUAUUUAUAAUCCGUAUGGUGGGACUCAGUACAAGACUCCGCCCACGCAACGGAUUAAUUCUGAGACUUCUGAGGUGGUCGCGUUGAUUAUCGGUAUAAUCGCUGGCGCCCUGAUCGCAAUCAUCCUGGUGGUCCUGAUCAUCCUCACCUUUAAAUCCCGAAGCCAGCGUUCAUUCAAGAUCGAGUCGAGCAAAGAAUCGUACGCGCACGGCCCCGGCGCAGCCCUGCUCGGCAACACCGCAUCGAGCACGUCGAGCGCCAACGCGAGCGCCCAGGCCCAGUACCAACUGAACGGCGGCGCCCUGAGAAACGGCGCAGGCGCAGACAAGUCGCAGACGCUCGCGCAGCAAAACAAAAAGAAACGCGACAGCAAAGACAUUAAGGAGUGGUACGUGUAAGUCGUGGUUAUGUUCGAUCGAUUCGUUGAGUGACUCCGAGCCAUCCCGUGGAAGGAUAGAAAAGUGAUAUUAUUAAUUGUUAGGGGUUUUUGUUUGGUUUUUGGCGGUUGAGGAGAAGGAAGGAGGACGAUGUUUUAGUGACGAAACGAUUUAAGUCACAUUAGGGAGAAUAUAAUUUAAAAAAGGAAAAUACUAUUCUAGUCGAUAAGGACGUUUAUUAAGGCGACAUAUUAUUGUAAAUUAUACUUAUUACCCGCACUAGUUAUACCAUUUCUGACUUCUCACGUGUUACGGCAAUCCCUCGACUAUUAUUAUUAUUAUUAUUAGUGUAAGAUAUACAUACAUACAUGCAUACAGGUAUAAUAACAUUAUUAUUAUUAUGGUAAAUUUUAAGCGCACAGUGAUUCCUCUAUUGCAAACUUUAAAUAAUGUAAAUAAUUUAUAAAAGAAGAUUAAAUAUUUUGGCUCUUUAAAUACAACUGCAUUAUGUCGUAAUGUUAGAAAUUUGGAAGAAACGUGUGUGACAAAAAGGGGAUUGAGUUUAAUAAUUCUAAACUUUAUAACGAGUUUUUAUAGGAAAUAUUGUUAUAAACACCUUAAGUGUGAAAAGUUCUUCGGUCAAAUUGUCUUAAAAGUAGUUGAAGCAAAAGUUUUUAGGGGGCAUCAAGUUUAUUUGGGAGCUGUAGAUUUCCAACAGUCGGUUAAAGGAAUGAGGAAAUUCUUAAUAUAACAUAUUAAGAGACAAAUGCUCAAACGCCAAGGGGUUGUGUCAAUAUAACGCUAAAGAGCAAACUUUAUAAGAAUAACCGAUAUCAGCGGUGAUUGCUUUGAGCCCUUUUUUCAAGGUCAUUUGUUUGCCAAAGAACUUCAAAUUCAAUAUAUUACGUGCACAAUACAUAGCAAAGUGAAAAUCAAUAAAAGCUAAAAAUAGAACUUCAUCUAUGGUUACAAACCAAAACAAUUAUAUAAAAUAUCAACACAAUUUAAGACUUAUACAAUUUAAUUCCAAGGCAGGCUAUGUAGGCCAUAGAUAUAUUGGCACAAUAAGUUCUUUCUGUUUAGUGUCAUAGCUGUGGCCCAAUCCUUCAUUUGGCUUAAUGUGCAAAAGAGAAUCAAGGAUAUAUUGAAAUGGCAAUGUUAGGGCUUUCAGAUUUACAAAUUUCCCUUUUUUUCCCAAAAAACAAACGCUCUUUUACAAUUUUCCCUUAUACCCUAGCCCAGCCAAAAUUUGCACAGCUUUUCUGCAGACCAAAGACUCUUCCAGAACGAAGAGUCAUUGGGUCAUCUUCAAUCAGAGCUAUAACUCAAGCCAAUACAGGAUAUAUCAGUAUUGAGUGGAAGAAGAGCUGAUAUGCCGUUUUUAAGGCCUCAGGAGAUAAUAAAAUUAUUCUAAAAGAGUACCCAGGGCAAACAGGCAGCUCUUGGAGCUGCCUACCUGCUCAGGAGCUGGUGGUCCACACGCUCGAACGCUUGAACAGGCACUAAACUGUUAGUUUUCAUAAGAACUUGAACUUUUUUAAAUAAGGUGUAGGAUACCAAAAGCAGAGCUUAUGUCGAAAAGCUGCUAUUGUCCUCAAUAAAGUUAUUUUUAAGGUAGUAACUUUUUCAACUUUGAAAUUACGGGCUGCAAAAUUGGCUUAUAAUUGGAAACAUCCCCUUCCUACCACCCUCUGCUGACAGUCUGGAAAACCUUUUCUUUAAAUCAUUAAUUUAUUAACUUUGUAAGAGGGACAAUAAUUAAGUUUUUUACAAUUUUUAUGAAUUUUACACUUAACCAAAAGUACCUUUAUUAAAUUUAUUUUUAGCAAAAAAACUACCAAAUAAAAAAACGAUUACUACAAUUUACCUAUGAAACAUCCCUAAUUGGAUUCCACUAGCCCACAUUAGCCUGAAAUCCCACAGGAAUGAAUAAUCUAGUAAACCAAAAUGACAGCUUGACAAACCUUACAAUAUGUCUAUAUUAAAUGAUACAAUACGUCAAUAUUAAAAACUAGGUUCAGAGAGUACUACUAUUUGUCGGUCUGGCUGAGCUGGUAAAUAAAAGUAUUGUAAUGAAUAUUUGUUCUUAACAGAAGGGUUGACCUUAUAUUUAUCGCCAUGGGUGUUGCCAGUCCUAUUGAAUAUAGCACCUCUGGAAAAUCUACAGAAGUAGUCAGAAUGUUAUACAAAUUCUUGAAAUAUCUUUGCUUCCGACUAACAGCAGAAGAAAGACAAAACAUCUGAUACUGAACUAUGUAGAUAUCAUGAAGGUAGUUGUUAACAAGAUCAAUUUUAGAAUUAGAGACUGCCAAUUUCAAGACUUUCCGUGGAACCUGGUCCAACCCCUCGAUAUAACAUUCAUACUAAGGACUACAUACUGAAGAAGCAUACUCCAGCAAAGGUCUUGCGCAUCUCUAGACAAAACCUGUCAUUCUAAGGUCUUUUAAUAUAAUCUCAGAUAUAUGAAAUUUAAACAAAAGAGUGAAGUCAAAUACAACUCGAAAAUCGCUAAUAAUUGUUUUCACAUUUGGCAAAGGAAUAUGGUGCGAGGCAAAUGUCGUAAAUGUUGCAUCGUUGUAGCAGUUCUAUGCUUGCAGAAGCAGAUACAUACAGACAGGCCCGGAUUUCCAAAAAAGGCCGCCCUGGGCACUGGGAAAAAUGUCUUGACCUUUUUUUGAGGCGAUUUUAGCUUGCGAAGUUAGGGUAGGUAAAAUCGUAUGCUGAGGUUUGUUAUUUUUUGCUGGUCAAUUUGAAUAUUAGAUUGCAUAUUAUCUAAAAUUAUCAUAUUAAAAUACUAGUAAAAUCCUUAUUUUAGAAAUCAAUUGGUAUCCAAUUAAAUAUAAUUUGCUUUCGUCUUUUUUUUUAUCACGAAGGGAGGUUAAGACAAAAAAUAUAUAAAAUAACAGGAGAAAAAUACUUUUUAUUAAGAAUUGAAAGAUGUUAAAUGUUCUGUCAUUUAAUAUAAUUGCAAAAUGGAGACGGAUUUUUAAUUACAGACUUGUUUGAUCAUGUAGACAAUAAAAAUAUUAUUAUAUAAUAUAACUGUUUCGAAAAACGAUCUGACUGCUAUAGAAAUCUAAAUAUGUAUAUGACCGUGUCGUUUUCAUCGAAAGACGCGCCUGACUUUUUGCGUUGUGAACUGUUCGAAGAUAUCCUCGCAAUUACUUCAUUAAAGCAAAUUUUUCUCUUAAUAUUUGACAUGUAAUUCCCCAUGGUAUAACCGUUGAAAAUGUUUUCUUUUCUUUCUUGAGAUUUGCCGCCCCUCAAAAUUCUGCCGCCCUGGGCACUUGCCCCGACUGCCCCUAGUGUAAAUCCAGGACUGCAUACAGAUGGCAUUUGGCUGGAUUCAACCAGCACGAUGAUCUGACUGUAAUUUGACAGUAAGGAAGGAGACAGCUAGAAGACAUUUCAGGUCAUAUGAAAAACAUAAGGAACUGGCAUAUUGAAAGAACAUGUGGAUAUCGUUCAUGAAACAUUAAAAAGAAGCGGCUUAUAUCUGAUCGUUGAGGACCACCUGAAGUAUUACUUAGCUCGUAGGAUAUAAAACCAUCGACUUUUAUAAUUUAUCAUCUGUUUGAUAGGCCCACAUCCGUGGCUCAAAGCUUGCUCAAGAGCCUCCCAUGAUUUACCCUGUCGAACGCCUUAGAAAUCUAAGACGUAGUCGGCGUAAGUAAACCGAUUGAUUUCUGUGGAUCUUCCGAUCUAAAGGCCAGCUUACUCAGUAAGAUUUUCUGUUCAGGAAAGAUACCCAAUUCUAAUGACUUAUUAAAUAAAAGGAUAAGUGGAUAACACAGAAUAAAACGAUAUAAAGGGUGGUAUGCUAUCAGUUCUUGGACCCUUAUUAGUGUUCAGCCUGCAAAUGUCACCGUAUACUCUGGAAAUAUUAAUGUGGAUAUUACUAAUAUUGUUAUUAUUGAUGGUUAAAGAUUUUCAUACAGGGUAGUCUUUGGUUGAAUAAACUGUUUUAAAGUAAUCAGCAAGAAGAUCAGCUAGGUCAUGGGGCCUACAAAUGUUUUAAUAAUUUUCUCGAGUAAGAACACCAGAAUCAUUUCUGUAUCUUGCUGUGAUCAAAUUCAUUUCUAAUCUAGAAACAUAUUGUUCAGAGCAGACAUUCCGAUCGUAAUGUCAAAAAAGUAAUUUAUUAAAAGUAAAUCAUCUUUAGAACGUGACUCUUUGAAACUUUGCAAUUGAAAAAUGCACCUGUUUCAUUCAGAUUACCUACCAAAUUUUUAAAAAAAACCUUAGAAUGUGCCCACGAGACCCUCAUUUUAAAGGUACUGCAACUGAAUGAAUAACUGAAUAAACUAUACCGACAAAAACAUUUAACAUAAUAUCUAACGAAUCGUGUUGAAGCAUAUAAUUUGAAUUAAGCUGACGAACACUUAUUAAAGACUAAGAUUUUUUAGAUUCGAAAAAAAAUUCUGAGGUAUAAUAAUUUUUCAUGACCUUUGCAGACAAGAUACAGUCACAAGAAAUCAUAUCCAGUGUAUUCUCCAAGUGAUUUAGAUAUUAUUCAAUUGACAUAUGUUAUGGAAACUGCAUAAGUCCGACAUAAAUUCAUCAUGGAUUCAAACUGGUGGCCCAAGAACAAGAGUUGUCAGAAGAUAAUAUUAAAGUUCACGAACAGUAGGAAUGAGCAUAAACACCCACAUAAACACCCAGACGCAAGAUCGACGUUUUGGCUAAGUAUGGUGUAUUUUUAAUGCUAACAAUCACCAGCUUAAGGUCUGUUGACACGUUUAUUACAGUACUACAGGGUUCCCUUGAGAACGCCAACAAUACUCUACCAUCUCUUAAGGAGGUGCUAUAGGUUUUGCACUUCUUUCAGUCCUAUAGAUGUUGGAUUUAUCCCAAUCUAGCUGCGCAUCUGAUACGUCAGCUAAAAAACAGUACUGAGAGCAAUUAUGGAGUAGCAAUUAGAGAUGAUAUUAUUUUGGAAUAUCAACAAUUAAGUUCUUAAUUCGCCAACAUUUUAGUAGUAAAUAUCUAUUGAAUGGUUGCUUUGUUGUAGAAAAUCCAUUUAUUG